AGAAAGAUUUACAGAGAGAGAGAGAGAGUGGUCCAGCUGAGUCUAUGGCUGAUUGACUCCUAGAGAAGCCGUGUAAGAUAAGGAGAGAAAGGAAAGAGAUCCAGAGAGAAAGAAAUUUCACAUGCUAAUCACUUUCUUCUUUCUUCAUUCAAGUAUAUCAUUCCAAAUCACAUGCAGUAAAACCAAUUUUCAUAUCUUGUGAGAUAUAAAAAUUCUUUUCAAAAAGAGAGCAAUAAUCAUGAAUGGAAUGAAAGCUUUUUCAUCUAUUCUAGAUUUAUUUCUACAAGCCCAGAUAUUCUAGCAGACACAGCUUUUUUGUUUUUUAUUUUGUUUUGGUCCUCAUCCACUUGAAACCACACUUUUGGUUUUGGAAAAUUUGUCUAGGUAGCUAGUUUAGGACACACAAUUUUUCCUCUGCUCAGAAAUGAUGUCUCAAGAAGCCUUUUCUAUUCCCUCCAACAACACCAUGAGAUCAGACACCUUGGCAAAUCAUGUUCAAGACCCAAACCCUAAUAAUCCAAACAACCCUAAUCCAAACCCAGCAAAGAGAAAGAGAAAUCUACCAGGCAAUCCAGAUCCGGAUGCAGAAGUGAUAGCUUUGUCUCCGAAGUCUCUGAUGGCGACUAACCGCUUCCUCUGCGAAAUCUGUAACAAGGGGUUCCAGAGAGACCAGAACCUGCAGCUGCAUCGGCGAGGACACAACCUGCCUUGGAAGCUGAAGCAAAGGGCCAACAAAGAUCAAGUGAGGAAGAAGGUUUACGUGUGCCCAGAGAAGAGUUGUGUCCACCACGACCCUAGUAGAGCACUUGGAGACUUGACAGGAAUCAAGAAACACUUCAGCAGAAAACAUGGUGAGAAGAAGUGGAAGUGUGAGAAGUGCUCCAAGAAAUACGCUGUUCAUUCCGAUUGGAAGGCCCAUGCCAAGAUUUGUGGGACUAGAGAGUACAAGUGUGACUGUGGCACACUUUUCUCCAGGAAGGACAGCUUCAUAACUCAUAGAGCUUUUUGUGACACUUUGGCUGAAGAAAGUGGGAGGAUAACUAGUACUAUUCCAGCAGCUUUAACCAACUUCAGAACCAAUCAUUUUACAAAUGCUCAACCUCUUAAGAUUCCUCAGAUUUUUCCUGGGUUUCACUCAGAAUUUGGUGGCUCAGGGUCAGAACCAUUGAGGCUUCCACCAUGGCUAGACCAACAGGUCAAUAAUUCCCAGCUUCACAAUCAUCCACUUAACUUCACAACCAAACCACCAAGUGCUGCAAAUUUCUCAUCAUCUGAUGCAGUGGACAUGUUUGGAUCACAACAACAAGAGACACAGUGGCUGAAUUUCAGAUUCCCAGCUGAAACGUCAUUUCCUGGUAAUUCCAAUAACAACAACAAUAAUAAUCUAUUGUUGUUGCCACAUGGACUUAAGCAAGAAGAACAAGAAGAAAACAAAGGAGAUCACUUGUCGCAUUCGCAUAGUGUGCAGGUAAGCUCUUUGUACUUGAGUAAUCAUCAGAAUCAGCUGCAACAACAAACUCACAUGGGAUCUAUGACGGCGAGGAUCAACGACGACGACCACACAGUAGUACCCUCCUUCAACAACAUUGUUGAGGUUCAGAAAUUGUUCAAGCAAGCUGAUGAGAAUAGUAACCUGAACAGGUUAGUGAGUUUGGAAACCAGCGGCAACAACAACAACAACAACGACCUCGGAGGUGGUGGUGGGUAUUUAUUAAAUGAUCAUCCACUAUCAAUGAUGGGCAAUGAGCAAGAACUACAUUCAAGCUCAGAUAACAAAAACCAGCUGAGAGACUUUCUGGGUGUUGGAGUUAACUCAAUAAGCAGGCCCUUCUUGCUGCAACAAGACUUUGCUGAAUUCAAUGCAAUGGAAACCGCAACAAACCAGAGCCAGUACAAUGGACACUACUGCUAGAGUUAUAUAGCUUAGAGAGAGCUAAAUAAGAGUGGCUAAGUCAAGUAUAUCAUAAUGCGAUGGUCGUAAAAUGAACACAACCUUGGUCUUGCAAAAACAGGGAGAUGGAUCAGGAAGAAAUAGGGGUUGGCUUGGUGCGCGGCAGCAUGGUGUUACUUUCGGUGUUUUGGCAUCUGACCAUCAGAGAUAAAUGGCUUGAUCCCAUUUCUAGAGCUAUGGGCAUUGGUGGAAGUGACGAAUCAAGAAAUUUAAUAUUGUAAGCAAUUGUUUCUUCUAGAGAUGCUUGUCUUGGGGGCUUAUUACAAACCUAACCUUUCCCACCAUCUAAAAUUCAUUUUUAAUUUCGUCCAUCCUAAAAACCCACCCUUUGUAUACCAUCAUUGAUUGAGUCCUGUGUUUCAAUGGUGAAGGUUAAAAGAAAAUCUUUUUUUUGAGAAUGUUACUUCUUCCCAUUUUCGAACAUUUGAAAAUGUGUGAAAUCCAAAUUAAUUUUGAAAUGCAAUGCAUUUGACAAGCGUUUGAGU